rnacentral:rRNA from 1 species
AGAAGGCCUUCGGGUAUUAAAGAUCUUUCGGUUGGGAAGAAGGGUGUGUGUGAUAAUACCGCAUGCAUUUGAUGGUACCAAAAGAAGAAGCACCGGCAAACUUCGUGCCAGCAGCCGCGGUAAUACGAAGGGUGCGAGCGUUGUUCGGAAUUACUGGGCGUAAAGGGUUCGUAGGCGGGAAUGCAAGUCAAGUGUGAAAUCCCCGAGCUUAACUUGGGACGUGCAUUUGAGACUGUGUUUCUUGAGUAUCGGAGAGGGUGGUGGAAUUGCUGGUGUAGGAGUGACAUCCGUAGAGAUCAGCAGGAACACCGGAGGCGAAGGCGACCACCUGGCCGAAAGA